UCGUUACGGACAAAAUAGAACGAUGCUGUUUCAAGUUCUUCCUACUUUCCCUUAUGAUUUCCCUGUUUCAGAGAGAGAGAGAAUGAAGCAGAUAUCGAAAGAUCCGUUCGAGGCGGCGUUUGAGGAGGAAGAGGAUGAUUCCGCCGCAGUAGCUGUCGAUGCACAACAACAAGACCCCGACGAAGACGAAGACUACGAUGGUCUAGGUAUGGGUACGGGUACGGGUACGGGUAUUCAUUCCUCUGCCGCUGACCCUUCCGUUUCUGCUUCCACGUCCGCACCAGCAUCGACCGCUACGACAGCAGCAGUCUCUGCCGCUAAAUCCAAUGCAAAGAACAAAUACGACGAUCAGGAGGAAGAGGAGGAGGACAACAUGGAUGUUGAGCUCUCCAAGUUACCUCCCACUGCCGACCCUGUUAAAAUGGCCAAGAUGCAGGCUAUUUUGUCACAAUUCACUGAGCAACAGAUGAGUAGGUACGAGUCCUUUAGGAGAGCUGGAUUUCAGAAAUCUAACAUGAAAAGGUUGCUAGCAAGCAUCACAGGAACCCCGAAAAUUUCUGUGCCAAUGACAAUUGUAGUGUCUGGGAUAGCAAAAAUGUUUGUUGGAGAACUUGUCGAAACAGCUAGAAUGGUUAUGGCAGAGAGGAAAGAAUCUGGGCCGAUCAGGCCUUGCCAUAUCAGAGAAGCAUAUAGAAGAUUAAAACUUGAAGGCAAAGUACCAAAGAGAUCAGUUCCAAGGCUCUUUCGGUAGAUUGGGCAGAGACGUUUUUAUGGCUGAUUGCACAGGUUUCAAGAUCAGCCUUGUUUUGAAGCAUGCACGUCAAUGGCGUUCGGGAACAUCUCUCCCAAAAUGCAGAACAUGCACAGGUCAUAUCAACAGUCUAAUUUACUUGUGCUUCAAUAUUGUAUAAUAACUAUUCAUGAGUCUAGACAAUUUUCCCUAUUUUUUUUCUCCACUUGGAAGUCAUGACGCUAGAUAAGUUUAUACUACUCUAUAUUCCCCACGGAUGCCCCAUGAUGCCAGUGGAUGUUAUUGUGCCAUGUUUUUUUUCUAUUAUUAUUCUAAGUAGAG